rnacentral:lncRNA from 1 species
UCCCAAAUUUUGGCUUGACAAAAUUCCACCAAAAAUUCAAUCUAAAUUGGGGUUCAAAGAAUUUCAGAUUACAAAAUCAAUACAAAAGCUUAAAAUAAAAUAAAAUAAAAAACACCAAAUUAGUAUUUCAUAUCUCAAAAACUGUACAUGUUGCUACUUCCUAUGUGCGUGCUCCUUCUCUAUCUCUCACUCAAUCCCCAAAUGGGUUUUUUCAUAUCCCCAAACCCAUAGUUCCUCUGUGCAUGCUGCUUCUCUCUCUUACUCAAUCCCCAAACAGGUUUUUUAAUUUUCCCAAACUCAUAGUUCCUCUGUAUGUGUUGCUCCCUCUGUGCAUGUAGCUUCUCUCUCUGUAUGUGCUGCUUCUCCAGUUCUCCUUCUCUGUGUGCUGCUCCAAUUGGGGUUUUAUUCUUCUUCCUCUCUGUUCAGAACUCCAGAUGCUUCUUGCUGCUGUUUGAACUUUGAAUCAAU